rnacentral:rRNA from 1 species
UACGAGGGGGGCAAGCGUUGUUCGGAAUUAUUGGGCGUAAAGGGCGCGUAGGCGGUUUGGCAAGUUUGGUGUGAAAUCUUCGGGCUCAACUCGAAGUCUGCACCGAAAACUGCCGGGCUUGAGUAUGGGAGAGGUGAGUGGAAUUUCCGGUGUAGCGGUGAAAUGCGUAGAUAUCGGAAGGAACACCUGUGGCGAAAGCGGCUCACUGGACCAUUACUGACGCUGAGGCGCGAAAGCUAGGGGAGCAAACAGGAUUAGAUACCCUGGUAGUCCUAGCCCUAAACGAUGAUUGCUUGAUGUGGCAGGUACCCAAUCCUGCCGUGUCGAAGCUAACGCGAUAAGCAAUCCGCCUGGGGAGUACGGUCGCAAGGCUGAA